rnacentral:sRNA from 1 species
AUUUAUGUCAGAGGGGAGUAACUUGAUGGUCACUUUAACAAUUAAGUGAUUUUACACUUUAUCGUCAUUACGAAGUCUUAUCUUCCGGUAAAGUGGGCAAUAAUAUUUGCU